rnacentral:rRNA from 1 species
UAGAGUUUGAUCAAGGCUCAGAUUGAACGCUGGCGGCAGGCCUAACACAUGCAAGUCGAGCGGAAACGGCAGUAUUGAAGCUUCGGUGGAUUUACUGGACGUCGAGCGGCGGACGGGUGAGUAACGGCUGGGAACCUGCCCUGACGAGGGGGAUAACCGUUGGAAACGACGGCUAAUACCGCAUAAUGUCUACGGACCAAAGGUGGCCUCUACAUGUAAGCUAUCGCGUUGGGAUGGGCCCAGUUAGGAUUAGCUAGUUGGUAAGGUAAUGGCUUACCAAGGCAACGAUCCUUAGCUGGUUUGAGAGGAUGAUCAGCCACACUGGGACUGAGACACGGCCCAGACUCCUACGGGAGGCAGCAGUGGGGAAUAUUGCACAAUGGGGGAGACCCUGAUGCAGCCAUGCCGCGUGUGUGAAGAAGGCCUUCGGGUUGUAAAGCACUUUCAGCAGUGAGGAAGGUCGUGUACUUAAUACGUGCACGGCUUGACGUUAGCUGCAGAAGAAGCACCGGCUAACUCCGUGCCAGCAGCCGCGGUAAUACGGAGGGUGCGAGCG